rnacentral:lncRNA from 1 species
GGAGAUCAGAAACCAGACCAGCCUCAGCUCUUCUAAAACUCCAGGUAGACAGUGUCCGACAUGAGCUGCUACCAGGAAAGGUUUUCCUCGGAGGAUGACUACUGCACCUACGCGUCGAAAAUGGAGAAGAAGACAGACAUGACUAAAGGGCCUCACUUCCCUCAGCUUCACACUGUGAUCAAGCACAAGGAGGUCCAUAUGGAAGAGGACGAGUCACGCCCUGGAAUCUUUGGCCGGCCGAGGCACGAGGAGUGGUCUGAAGAGGAGACCUAUGAAAUGUCUGAGACCACCUACGCAGGCGACAUGGGCAUGAAAGGGGGAGAGCGCAUCAGGCGCAAGGUGUAUAUAUGAGACUAUCAUCUAUAUAUAGUUCUGUGGUGAUGGAUGCCAUGGCUUGGCAUCUUUAUAUAUAGAAUAAAUCUCGGGCUUAUCUGCUGUAUAUCCAUAUGAAUAAUACUAUACUUCUCUAGUACUCAAGCUAUAGCUCUAUACUUUAGCCUACUACAUUCACUCUUGAUAUCUUUAGUACGCGCGUGUUUUCAGGUAAAUUUUUUGAGAAUACUACCCAACUCUUUCCCCCUUCAUUUUGAUAAUAUAAUCGGGAAAGAAGUAGGCUAGUCUCCGCUUUGAAUCCUAAAUAUAUUGGUGCAAGAUCGACCGAUGGCAUUCUAAAAUGUUGAUCCAAGCCACUGAUAAUGAUAUAUAUAACAUGUAAGACAUCCGCAAGAAUCAAGUAUUUUGUAAGUUAUCUAUCUAUUAUGCAUCAAGGGGAUGCAAAUGGACGGCAUGAGUAGUGCUAAUGUGUUAAAAUGCAUGAUAGGGUGUGAGAAAAAUUUUGAAUCCAGUCCAUCGAUUAUGAUCGCUCCAUAGAAAGCAUAUGUCAAAUAAAGUUCAAUAUGUUUGAGCACUUCUAAGUCAUAUGUAAACAUGAACUAGAUCGAACAACAUGUAUGAUGAAACCUUUUUGUUUUUGAAGAUUGUUUAUAAAAGGUUUUUGAGCUUUUGGAAGCAAAGUUUAUAGCUUUCAUAAAAAGAGUGAAAAUAAAAUCAAGGAAUAGUAAAAGUUUUGUGCAGAUGCUACCUCGGACAUCAAUCUGCAUGUAGGAAUAGCCAAAUAGGACCUGCAACUCUGUUUCCUAGGGGAAAAAAAAAAAAGCUGAGAUUUUAGGGACGGUUGCAAAAUGUUGCAGUUCCCGUUUUCUUCAGAUUUUCUAAAGCUGGAACUUUCUCGGUUUUGUUACUUCAAGUUCCUUUCUGAGAACUCAGAAAUUCUAACAUAUUUCUGUAGCAAUUUCCGAAGCUGUUUUAAUGAAGCUGUAACUACUACCUAUCAUUAUGGUUUUUAACUUACAGGCUUGAAGCAUAACGCGCUCCCAGUUGCACCCCUAUUUUAAGUGUCUUUGGAGCAUUUUUCAAGACAAAACGAGAACAUAGGAUAAUUUUUGGCCCAGAUCUUGCCACAUAUCGCCGCAAGUGUUGGCUGAUUCUCCUUCUUGAUUAAAGCAGACAAUGCCAGUGAUCAAACACAACAUAAGUUCACGUAUAUAAGCAAUUCACUAAGAUCUACACCAAAGAGGUGCAGUGGCAAAGAAGCAACCAACUCAGAGAACCUUUGGAAGAAGGCUUAGCCCAAAGAAGGCACAAACUUUGCCCUCCCCUGAGGCCAUCCUUUCAGAUCCCUCGGUUCCCACCACCUUCUCUCUCCCUCUCUCCUGCGGACGUGCCGGUGCUGCAGCGCAGAGAGAGACCCUGCAUCAAUGCCAUGCGGAUUCGUGCAAAGCAAACUAACGUUCCCCAUGCCAAAAGCGGAUUACUCUACUGCCUCUAUAUAUAGAUCUCUUGCUUUCUUCUCAGCUCGCCACUCUUUCUUCCACCGAUUCUUCCAGAAUUAAUAUUAGAGCCAUGGCUGUCUUCCGUCGAGCCUAUUUGUUUCGAGAUAUCUUCCGUUGAUGAGUGACUUGCUCGUCUUUCAUGGUCACUUGACGACGUUGGUGCCCUGAAGUCGCGCCAAUGGCAACCUCGCGUUGACGUGGGGGGAAUUAAGCUCGUUUCUAUGGGUGCUCUUCUUGCUUUAUUUUCCGCUUUCUGCUCUCUAACGUAUGGGAAUUGAUUUGUGUGAGGUUGGAAGGGGAUCCAAGUGUAUGGUGAUAUAAUAGCAGCCUUAAAUAUCAGCUUUUUGCUAUUCUAAUAUUGGGUUCGGGUUGUAUCUUCCGUGGGAAAGAAUGAUUCAUCUUUUUUUUCCACGAGGUCAACCAUUGGAUUGUGCAACGGCCACUUUAAGAUCUGUGCAGGUGGAUGAAAAAAAAAAGAGUUUGGUGUGCUUUGGAUCAUUCUUUCACGUGAAAGAUACAACCUAGAUCCUUUGAUAUAUGCACAUUUCCGAAGUGGUCAAAGUGUUUACCAUAAAGAAGAUUGGAGUCUUGAGUGCUCAAAAGAUGUUCGUAGCUAUAAGUGAGGUUGCAUAUUGCACCUAUAAGACUUAUUGAAUGUAUAGUGAUUGUAUGGAGUUCCUCCUCCACCAAGAUGGUCAUGACCUCGCAUUAAGAAUUGGCUGUGUUGUUAUAUUGAAUAAUCAAUAUUAACAAUCCACUUUAAAAAUCAUUGUCAAGGAUAGAGAUGCGAACUUGGUUGAAAUAGCUUAUAAGUGGUCCCUUAACUUGAAAUAAUAGAAUACCUUACUACAAUUUUGUGACAAAAUCCAUGUAUUAAUAAUGAUACCCUUGAUAAGAGGCAUAGUGGUUUAUUGGAUUCAGAUACAAAUAAGGGUCUAGUUGUCCAACAUGAAAUCAACCAUAUGUUACAAUGUUAAUAUUAAAACAUAGAGAUGGUCAGACAUAUGAGACCCACAACCCAGCUAAUUACUUAAAGUUUUAAAAAUAAUUAUUUUGGAAAAAAAUAUUAUUAAGAACAAUGGUAAAUUAUUUUCAAAAGGUUUCAUGUGCAUUGAAAUCCAAUCCAAUCCACCACCAUAAGCUCUCUCACGCGCGCAUAUAUAUAUAUAUAUAUAUAUAUAUAUUCGUUAUAUAUAUAUAUAUAUAUAUAUAUAUAUUCGAAUUUGCCCCUCUUGGUUUCAAGUUAGCAUGUUUUAUAGAAUGGCAAUUUUAGAUGAAGUUUGGUCUAGGACCUCUAGGUAUAGAUGUGUAGGAAUAGAUUUGCACAAUUUGAUGAGUCGGUGAAUAUUUUGGUGUAAUUUGACAUAUUCAAUAUUCUAUUUUGCAUGGUUGCAAUUUUCUGUUUUCAAUUUUCCUUAAAAACUAAAGAAAUUGCCACGGGAAUGGUGUUUGAUAAUCUAUUUUCUUUUUUAGUUUUUUUGAAAACUUUUUCUUAGUUUCUAAAAAUUUAUGCAAGUUUAAAAUUUUGUUUCCAAAAUUUCUAAAAAUCAAACCACUCAUGAUCCUCCACCAUCAUCUUUGUUGCUAUUGCCUCUGUCACCACCUAUCAACCACUAUCCUCUCGCCAACCACAAUCAUCUCCACUAUCACUGCAAUCAGCAUUGCUAACAUUGCUGCCAAAUGCAUUCCAUGCAACCAUUAGAUGUUAGGUUUUUGAUUGAAGGAGGCUUGUUUGAGGAAUCUCUUUUAGAGAUGUAACGUGAAAGAUAAAUGGAGAAUCGACCUUGCGACCUAGAGAGGGGAAUUUCAAAAAAUUCGAUGAAAAGAGAGAAAAAGAAGGGAAUAUAUAUUUGUGGUGUGGUUAACUAAGCUGAUUGAUAUUGAUGGUAUUCGAAUUUGAUAAGACAAGGAUUAGAAUUCUUUCAUAUGAAGUAUGCGAAUGAAGAACUGGUGGUCUAGAUCAUUGAGGAAUGAGAAUAAGAAAGCGAGCAAUGAAGAUAGGAGGUGGGUCCUAAAAUUUAAAGGGGCAAGGAGGCUGCACUGGAACUAUUUGGAAAUCCCAAGAACAUUUAAUUUCUCAGGAUGGCCAUGGCCCUUGCCCCCUCCCCUGCCGGUUCCAGCAUUCACAAACUGAUGCAUUCUUUUAGUCUUCUAAAUCUACUUCAUAUAGUUUCUAGGAGCUUGGGUUGUCUCUAUGGUUCAUAAACCUUACAAGAAUGUUUACCUUCUGAUGUCAGCAUAUGAUAUAUAACGAUGACAAGUGCCUCUACCUGUGGGUCGAUGAAGAAUGGUAUGAUCAAUUCAGGUUUCCAAGCACAGAAGAACGGUACAAAGAUAGCAGCAGCAAGACAUUCAAACAUUGUUGAUCUCAGAAAACCAUGUUGCCCAUGCUGUAACGCAGCACUGGUUUGUAAGCUAGGAAAUGAUCAAGGAAUAGGAUGGACUCCAAUGGACACAGGCCUAUGUGAACUUGGAGAGGAGCACUGUACUAGUAAAGUGAAUGCAACUCAGCUAUGGUGCUCAUAUUCUGCCCCUAUGUAAAUUUCAAACUUCUCUCUUUUUCUUCUUGGGAAAUAUCGAACCUAUUCAACCAUCUGAUGGUGAUUACAAACAUUUUAAACUAACUUUUUCCAGAGCAAUUCCAAACGGUGGAGAAAUUGUUUGCAUAUGAUGAGGUAUGGGAUCACAAAGUAAUAUAAUUAUUGUCGAGUAUAUCUUUGAGUUUACGGGCUCUAGAAAGGCAAAAAAAAUCUUUUCCCCCAUGAGAGAAGCAAGUGGUGCAGAGUGCAAAGAGCGAAGCAAGCAUUAGCAUCCUUGUUUUAUUUGGGCCGCACAGGAUGAGAUAAAUUUAUUUAUAUAUUGUUCUAGAAACCGACAUUAGCAUCAGUGGGUGCUUCCAAUACCACCCAAAGCUACUGCAUCAAGGUUCAAAUUCAUGCAAUAACACUAGCCGCCUGACGCAGACAGAAGUUAGAGGAUUAGAUGCGCUUCUUAUCUUUUUUCUUUUUUUUUGGUACAGAUGCACUUCUUAUCUUCAAGGAAUAAAUAUCAUAAGGCUUGGUCUAUAAAAAGGAGGAGCCAAGGAGCUCAGAAACCAGACCAGCCUCAGCUCUUCUAAAACUCCAGGUAGACAGUGUCCAACAUGAGCUGCACCUACGAGUCGAAAAUGGAGAAGACAAGCAUGACUGAAGGGCCUCACUCCCCUCAGCUUCACACUGUGAUCAAGCACAAGGAGGUCCAUGAGGAAGAGGAGAAGCCACGCCACGGAAUCUUCGGCCGGCCAAGGAACAAGGAGUGGUCUGAAGAGGAGACCUAUGAAAUCUCUGAGACAACCUACGCAGGCGACAUGGGCAUGCAAGGAGGAGAGUGCAUCAGGCGCAAGGAGUAUAUAUGAGACCAUACAUCAAGGCAGCUUGAGAGCAUCAUCUAUCUAUAGUUCUGUGAUGAUGGAUGCCAUGGCUUGGCAUCUUUAUAUAUAGAAUAAAUCUCUGGCUUAUCUACUGUAUAUCCAUAUGAAUAAUACUAUACUUCUCUAGUACUCAAGGUAUAGCUCUAUACUUUAGCCUACUACAUUCACUCUUGAUAUCUUUAGUACGCGCGUGUUUUCAGGUAGAUUUUUUGAGAAUACUACACCAACUCUUUCCCCCUUCAUUUUGAUAAUAUAAUCGGGAAAGAAGUAGGCUAGUCUCCGCUUUGAAUCCUAAAUAUAUUGGUGCAAGAUCGACCGAUGGCAUUCUAAAAUGUUGAUCCAAGCCACUGAUAAUGAUAUAUAUAACAUGCAAGACAUCCGCAAGAAUCAAGUAUUUUGUAAGUUUUCUAUCUAUUAUGCAUCAAGAGGAUGCAACUGGACGGCAUGAGUAGUGCUAAUGUGUUAAAAUGCAUGAUAGGGUGUGAGAAAAAUUUUGAAUCCAGUCCGUCGAUUAUGAUCGCUCCAUAGAAAGCAUAUGUGAAAUAAAGUUCAAUAUGUUUGCUUCUAAGUCACAUGAAAACAUGAACUCGAUCCAACAACAUGUGUGAUGAAACCUUUUUGUUUUUGAAGAUUGUUUGUAAAAGUUUUUGAGCUUUUGGAAGCAAAGUUUAUAGCUUUCAUAGAAGGAGUGAAAAUAAAGCAAGGAAUAGAAAAAGUUUUGUACAGAUGCCACCUUGGACAUCAAUCUGCAUGUGGUAUUUCAC